rnacentral:rRNA from 1 species
UGGUUUCUUAACAUUUAUAUUAAAUCUAAAUUUUUAGUUAAAAAUUUAAAAUUAAAUUAAAAGACGAGAAGACGCUAUAGAGUUUUAUAUCAAAUUUAUUAUAAUUUAUUAAUAAUAAUUAAAAUAUUAUUUAUUUUUAUAUUUUGUUGGGGUGACAGUAAAAUUGAUUAAUCUUUUAUUAUUUUUUAACAAUGAUUUUUGAAUAAUUGAUCCGUUUUUUAUGAUUAAAAGAUUAAAUUACCUUAGGGAUAACAGCGUAAUUUUAUUG